UAAGCGGAGGAAAAGAAACUAACAAGGAUUCCCCUAGUAACGGCGAGUGAAGCGGGAAGAGCUCAAAUUUGAAAUCUGGUGGCCUCAGGCUAUCCGAGUUGUAAUCUAUAGAAACAUUUUCCGCGUUGGCCCAUGUACAAGUCUCUUGGAAUAGAGCGUCAUAGAGGGUGAGAAUCCCGUCCUUGACAUGGACUACCAGUGCUUUGUGAUAUGUUUUCAACGAGUCGAGUUGUUUGGGAAUGCAGCUCAAAAUGGGUGGUAAAUUCCAUCUAAAGCUAAAUAUUGGCGAGAGACCGAUAGCGAACAAGUACCGUGAGGGAAAGAUGAAAAGCACUUUGGAAAGAGAGUUAAACAGUAUGUGAAAUUGUUGAAAGGGAAACGAUUGAAGUCAGUCGUGUCUAUUGGACUCAGCCGGUUCUGCCGGUGUACUUCCUUUAGAUGGGGUCAACAUCAGUUUUGAUCGCUGGAAAAGGGCAGGAGGAAUGUAGCACUCUCGGGUGAACUUAUAGCCUUCUGUCGCAUACAGUGGUUGGGACUGAGGAACGCAGCUUGCCUUUAUGGCCGGGAUUUAUCCACGUACAAGCUUAGGAUGUUGACAUAAUGGCUUUAAACGACCCGUCUUGAAACAC
rnacentral:rRNA from 1 species